GCCAGCAUGGUGUAGUGGUUUGAGUGUUUGACUAAGGCUCUGGAGACUAGGGUUCAAUUCCCAGCUUGGCU